rnacentral:rRNA from 1 species
GUAGGUGGCAAGCGUUGUCCGGGAAUUAUUGGGCGUAAAGCGCGCGCAGGCGGUUCUUUAAGUCUGAUGUGAAAGCCCACGGGCUCAACCGUGGAGGGUCAUUGGAAACUGGAGAACUUGAGUACAGAAGAGGAAAGCGGAAUUCCACGUGUAGCGGUGAAAUGCGUAGAGAUGUGGAGGAACACCAGUGGCGAAGGCGGCUUUCUGGUCUGUAACUGACGCUGAGGCGCGAAAGCGUGGGGAGCAAACAGGAUUAGAUACCCUGGUAGUCCACGCCGUAAACGAUGAGUGCUAAGUGGUUAGGGGGUUUCCGCCCCUUAGUGCUGCAGCUAACGCAUUAAGCACUCCGCCUGGGGAGUACGGCCGCAAAGGCUG